GACGAACGCUGGCGGCGUGCUUAACACAUGCAAGUCGAACGAAAAGAGGGAAAUAGCUUGCUCUUUCCGGAAUUGAGUGGCAAACGGGUGAUUAACACGUAAACAACCUUCCUUCAGGAUGGGGACAACAGACGGAAACGACUGCUAAUACCGAAUAAGUUCCAAGGGCCGCAUUGCCCAUGGCAGAAAAGGUGGCCUCUACCUGUAAGCUAUCGCCUGAAGAGGGGUUUGCGUCUGAUUAGCUGGUUGGAGGGGUAACGGCCCACCAAGGCGACGAUCAGGAGACGGUCUGGGAGGAAGAACGGCCAAAAUGGGAAUGAGAAAAGGGCCAGAAUCCUAAGGGAGGGAGCAGUGGGGAAUCAUCCGAAAUGGGCGAAAGCCUGACGGAGCAACGCCGCGUGAGUGAUGACGGCCUUCGGGUUGUAAAACUAUGUGAUCCGGGACGAAAAGGCAGAGAGCGAAGAACAAACUGCAUUGACGGAACCGGAAAAGCAAGCCACGGCUAACUACGUG
rnacentral:rRNA from 1 species